rnacentral:sRNA from 1 species
GUUGCCGUUUGUGCUGUUGAUUGUGGGGAGGAAGUCAGUUAGUGUUACUACUCUCGACAUUCUGCGCGGGAUCCUGGCCCGUCGCGAGGAAGAGGGCCGUGACGAUAUUCGACGCAUGCGCGUUGAACCCGCCAAUGCUGCCCGCCAUCGCACUCCCGACGAGAUUCUUGCUGAUAUUCAGCUCAACAAGCGCGUCAACGUCGCUUUUCAGCACGCUCCGCACUACGUCGCCCGGUAUAAUCGCCUCAGCAACAACAGCCUUCCCGCGCCCGUCGAUCCAAUUGAUCGCAGCUGGCUUUUUGUCCGUGCAGUAGUUCCCGGACACGGAGAUGGUAUCCAUGUCUUCGAACCCGGCCUCGGUGGACAUGACAUGUAGCGCCUUCUCGACGCCCUU